UCUGUUGAAGAUGAUGAAUUGGUAUCUUUUAUACUCUCUGGGCUUGAUUCCGAUUACAACCCUAUUGUUUCCUCUGUUUUGAGCAGAACAGACCCUAUCUCUCUUGGCGAUCUGUUCUCUCAACUCCUCACCUAUGAAU